CCUACGGGAGGCAGCAGUCGAGAAUCAUUCACAAUGGGGGAAACCCUGAUGGUGCGACGCCGCGUGGGGGAUUGAAGGCCUUCGGAUUUUAAACUCCUUUCAUGUGGGAGCAAAUUAAAAAGAUAGUACCACAAGAGAAAGAGACGGCUAACUCUGUGCCAGCAGCCGCGGUAAUACAGAGGUCUCAAGCGUUGUUCGGAACUACUGGGCGUAAAGCGUGCGUAGGCUGUUUCGUAAGUCGUGUGUGAAAGGCGCGGGCUCAACCCGCGGACGGCACAUGAUACUGCGAGACUAGAGUAAUGGAGGGGGAACCGGAAUUCUCGGUGUAGCAGUGAAAUGCGUAGAUAUCGAGAGGAACACUCGUGGCGAAGGCGGGUUCCUGGACAUUAACUGACGCUGAGGCACGAAGGCCAGGGGAGCGAAAGGGAUUAGAUACCCGAGUAGUC
rnacentral:rRNA from 1 species